rnacentral:rRNA from 1 species
UUAAGCGACUAAGCGUACACGGUGGAUGCCCUGGCAGUCAGAGGCGAUGAAGGACGUGCUAAUCUGCGAAAAGCGUCGGUAAGGUGAUAUGAACCGUUAUAACCGGCGAUGUCCGAAUGGGGAAACCCAGUGCAAUUCGUUGCACUAUCGUUAACUGAAUACAUAGGUUAACGAGGCGAACCGGGGGAACUGAAACAUCUAAGUACCCCGAGGAAAAGAAAUCAACCGAGAUUCCCCCAGUAGCGGCGAGCGAACGGGGAGCAGCCCAGAGUCUGAAUCAGCUUGUGUGUUAGUGGAACGGUCUGGAAAGUCCGACGGUACAGGGUGAUAGUCCCGUACACCAAAAUGCACAGGCUGUGAACUCGAAGAGUAGGGCGGGACACGUGGUAUCCUGUCUGAAUAUGGGGGGACCAUCCUCCAAGGCUAAAUACUCCUGACUGACCGAUAGUGAACCAGUACCGUGAGGGAAAGGCGAAAAGAACCCCGGCGAGGGGAGUGAAAAAGAACCUGAAACCGUGUACGUACAAGCAGUGGGAGCACCUUCGGGUGUGACUGCGUACCUUUUGUAUAAUGGGUCAGCGACUUAUAUUCUGUAGCAAGGUUAACCGUAUAGGGGAGCCGCAGGGAAACCGAGUCUUAACUGGGCGUUAAGUUGCAGGGUAUAGACCCGAAACCCGGUGAUCUAGCCAUGGGCAGGUUGAAGGUUGGGUAACACUAACUGGAGGACCGAACCGACUAAUGUUGAAAAAUUAGCGGAUGACUUGUGGCUGGGGGUGAAAGGCCAAUCAAACCGGGAGAUAGCUGGUUCUCCCCGAAAGCUAUUUAGGUAGCGCCUCGUGAAUUCAUCUUCGGGGGUAGAGCACUGUUUCGGCUAGGGGGUCAUCCCGACUUACCAACCCGAUGCAAACUACGAAUACCGAAGAAUGUUAUCACGGGAGACACACGGCGGGUGCUAACGUCCGUCGUGAAGAGGGAAACAACCCAGACCGCCAGCUAAGGUCCCAAAGUCAUGGUUAAGUGGGAAACGAUGUGGGAAGGCACAGACAGCCAGGAUGUUGGCUUAGAAGCAGCCAUCAUUUAAAGAAAGCGUAAUAGCUCACUGGUCGAGUCGGCCUGCGCGGAAGAUGUAACGGGGCUAAACCAUGCACCGAAGCUGCGGCAGCGACACUAUGUGUUGUUGGGUAGGGGAGCGUUCUGUAAGCCUGCGAAGGUGNUGCUGGAGGUAUCAGAAGUGCGAAUGCUGACAUAAGUAACGAUAAAGCGGGUGAAAAGCCCGCUCGCCGGAAGACCAAGGGUUCCUGUCCAACGUUAAUCGGGGCAGGGUGAGUCGACCCCUAAGGCGAGGCCGAAAGGCGUAGUCGAUGGGAAACAGGUUAAUAUUCCUGUACUUGGUGUUACUGCGAAGGGGGGACGGAGAAGGCUAUGUUAGCCGGGCGACGGUUGUCCCGGUUUAAGCAUGUAGGCUGGUUGUCCAGGCAAAUCCGGAUAAUCAAGGCUGAGGUGUGAUGACGAGGCACUACGGUGCUGAAGUAACAAAUGCCCUGCUUCCAGGAAAAGCCUCUAAGCAUCAGGUAACAUCAAAUCGUACCCCAAACCGACACAGGUGGUCAGGUAGAGAAUACCAAGGCGCUUGAGAGAACUCGGGUGAAGGAACUAGGCAAAAUGGUGCCGUAACUUCGGGAGAAGGCACGCUGGUGUGUAGGUGAAGCCCCUGCGGGUGGAGCUGAGACCAGUCGAAGAUACCAGCUGGCUGCAACUGUUUAUUAAAAACACAGCACUGUGCAAACACGAAAGUGGACGUAUACGGUGUGACGCCUGCCCGGUGCCGGAAGGUUAAUUGAUGGGGUUAUCCGUAAGGAGAAGCUCUUGAUCGAAGCCCCGGUAAACGGCGGCCGUAACUAUAACGGUCCUAAGGUAGCGAAAUUCCUUGUCGGGUAAGUUCCGACCUGCACGAAUGGCGUAAUGAUGGCCAGGCUGUCUCCACCCGAGACUCAGUGAAAUUGAACUCGCUGUGAAGAUGCAGUGUACCCGCGGCAAGACGGAAAGACCCCGUGAACCUUUACUAUAGCUUGACACUGAACAUUGAGCCUUGAUGUGUAGGAUAGGUGGGAGGCUUUGAAGCGUGGACGCCAGUCUGCGUGGAGCCAACCUUGAAAUACCACCCUUUAAUGUUUGAUGUUCUAACGUUGGCCCCUUACCGGGGUUGCGGACAGUGUCUGGUGGGUAGUUUGACUGGGGCGGUCUCCUCCCAAAGCGUAACGGAGGAGCACGAAGGUUAGCUAAUCCUGGUCGGACAUCAGGAGGUUAGUGCAAUGGCAUAAGCUAGCUUGACUGCGAGCGUGACGGCGCGAGCAGGUGCGAAAGCAGGUCAUAGUGAUCCGGUGGUUCUGAAUGGAAGGGCCAUCGCUCAACGGAUAAAAGGUACUCCGGGGAUAACAGGCUGAUACCGCCCAAGAGUUCAUAUCGACGGCGGUGUUUGGCACCUCGAUGUCGGCUCAUCACAUCCUGGGGCUGAAGUAGGUCCCAAGGGUAUGGCUGUUCGCCAUUUAAAGUGGUACGCGAGCUGGGUUUAGAACGUCGUGAGACAGUUCGGUCCCUAUCUGCCGUGGGCGCUGGAGAAUUGAGGGGGGCUGCUCCUAGUACGAGAGGACCGGAGUGGACGCAUCACUGGUGUUCGGGUUGUCAUGCCAAUGGCACUGCCCGGUAGCUAAAUGCGGAAGAGAUAAGUGCUGAAAGCAUCUAAGCACGAAACUUGCCCCGAGAUGAGUUCUCCCUGAGACU